rnacentral:ncRNA from 1 species
UAAUAGGCAAAACAAGCGAAAGUUUGCGGCGCAAAACUAUAGGGUCUAAAAGGUAUUUAUGACAGCCAGUUGC